UACGAAGGGGGCUAGCGUUGCUCGGAAUGACUGGGCGUAAAGGGCGCGUAGGCGGCUCGUUUUGUCAGACGUGGAAGUCCUGGGCUCAACCUGGGGAUUGCGUUUGGGACGGAUGGGCUUGAGUGGGGAAGAGGGUCGUGGAAUUCCCAGUGUAGAGGUGAAAUUCGUAGAUAUUGGGAAGAACACCGGUGGCGAAGGCGGCGACCUGGUCCUUUACUGACGCUGAGGCGCAAGAGCGUGGGGAGCAAACAG
rnacentral:rRNA from 1 species